AUGUGCAUCGAAGGUCUGGGCGCCGUGAACGAGUUCCCCCGCGACCAGCGCCGCCGUGGCCGUUCCCUCGCCUUCCUCCUCUGCACCACUUGCCCGCCGGCAGGGCCUCGUCCCUACCUCCGGCGUGCCAAGUUCGUCGUCAUCCUCCCCCUUGCUGUUGCUGCUCCUCGUAGGUCUUCCUGGUGCCCUCGUCUCUGCUCGCGAGAGGAUGAGUGUGACCGCUGCUUCGAUCUGUGA
rnacentral:rRNA from 1 species